GAUGAACGCUAGCGGCAGGCUUAACACAUGCAAGUCGAGGGGUAACAGAGGUAGCUUGCUACUUGCUGACGACCGGCGCACGGGUGCGUAACGCGUAUACAAUCUACCUUGUACAGGGGAAUAGCCCAGAGAAAUUUGGAUUAAUGCCCCAUAGUAUUAUGAAAUGGCAUCGUUUUAUAAUUAAAGCUUCGGCGGUACAAGAUGAGUAUGCGUUCUAUUAGCUAGAUGGUAAGGUAACGGCUUACCAUGGCUACGAUAGAUAGGGGUCCUGAGAGGGAGAUCCCCCACACUGGUACUGAGACACGGACCAGACUCCUACGGGAGGCAGCAGUGAGGAAUAUUGGACAAUGGUCGAAAGACUGAUCCAGCCAUGCCGCGUGCAGGAAGACUGCCCUAUGGGUUGUAAACUGCUUUUAUAUGGGAAGAAUAAGAUCUACGUGUAGAUCGAUGACGGUACCAUNAGAAUAAGCACCGGCUAACUCCGUGCCAGCAGCCGCGGUAAUACGGAGGGUGCAAGCGUUAUCCGGAAUCAUUGGGUUUAAAGGGUCCGUAGGCGGGCAUAUAAGUCAGUGGUGAAAGUCUGUGGCUCAACCAUAGAACUGCCAUUGAUACUGUAUGUCUUGAAUUAUUGUGAAGUGGUUAGAAUAUGUAGUGUAGCGGUGAAAUGCUUAGAUAUUACAUAGAAUACCGAUUGCGAAGGCAGAUCACUAACAAUAUAUGACG
rnacentral:rRNA from 1 species